UACAGAGGGUGCGAGCGUUAAUCGGAAUUACUGGGCGUAAAGGGCGCGUAGGUGGUUAUAUAAGUGAGAUGUGAAAUCCCCGGGCUUAACCUGGGAACUGCAUUUUAUACUGUAUGGCUAGAGUACAUGAGAGGGUAGUGGAAUUUCCGGUGUAGCGGUGAAAUGCGUAGAUAUCGGAAGGAACACCAGUGGCGAAGGCGGCUACCUGGCAUGAUACUGACACUGAGGCGCGAAAGCGUGGGGAGCAAACAGG
rnacentral:rRNA from 1 species